AUUGAACGCUGGCGGCAGGCCUAACACAUGCAAGUCGAGCGAGCGGCGGACGGGUGAGUAAUGUAUGGGGACUGCCCGAUAGAGGGGGAUAACUACUGGAAACGGUAGCUAAUACCGCAUACUAUCGGAUAACCCAUAUGGGAUUAGCUAGUAGGGGGGGUAAUGGCGAACCUAGGCGACGAUCCCUAGCUGGUCUGAGAGGCUGCUCAGCCACACUGGAACUGAGUCACGGCCCAGACUCCUCCGGAGGCAGCAGUGGGGAAUAUUGCACAAUGGGCGCAAGUCUGAUGCAGCCAUGCCGCGUGUAUGAUGAAGGCCUUCGGGUUGUAAAGUACUUUUGGCAGAGAAGCGUUAUCUGCAGAAUAAGCACCGGCUAACUACGUGCCAGCCGCCGCGGUAAUAC
rnacentral:rRNA from 1 species